AACGAACGCUGGCGGCGCGUCUUAAGCAUGCAAGUCGAACGGCAAGAGAAGAGCUUGCUCUUCUCCUAGAGUGGCGGACUGGUGAGUAACACGUGGGUGAUCUACCCUUGGGAUGGGGAUAGCCGUUAGAAAUAGCGGGUAAUACCGAAUACCCUCACGUUCAUAAAGGGAUGUGAGGAAAGGAAGCUACGGCUUCGCUCGAGGAUGAGCCUGCGUCCCAUUAGCUAGUUGGUGAGGUAAAGGCCCACCAAGGCGACGAUGGGUAUCCGGCCUGAGAGGGUGAUCGGACACAUUGGGACUGAGAUACGGCCCAAACUCCUACGGGAGGCAGCAGCUAAGAAUAUUCCGCAAUGGACGGAAGUCUGACGGAGCGACGCCGCGUGGAUGAAGAAGGCUGAAAAGUUGUAAAAUCCUUUUGCUGAUGAAGAAUAAGGGUAGGAGGGAAUGCCUAUCUGAUGACGGUAAUCGGCGAAUAAGCCCCG
rnacentral:rRNA from 1 species